rnacentral:rRNA from 1 species
CUUAAGGGUGUAUGGGGGAUGCCUUGGCUCAAACAAGCGAUGAAGGACGCGGAAGUCUGCGAUAAGCUUCGGGGAGGUGACAAACAACCUUUGAUCCGGAGGUUUCCGAAUGGGGAAACCCGGCCAGUUUUUACUGGUCACGUAUUGGGUCGCACCAGUACGAGCGUACCUAGGGAACUGAAACAUCUAAGUACCUAGAGGAAUAGAAAGCAAAAGGGACUGUUUUUUAUCCGGCUACAUUUUGCCGUCGGAUAAAGAACAGUCUUGCGAUUUCCUUAGUAGCGGCGAGCGAAACGGAAACAGCCCAAACCGGAUACUUAGGUAUCCGGGGUUGUACGGCAAAAGUGCUGCACUUGUGUAGGAAGAGUUAUCAAGUGUGAAUAUAGAGGAAGAUUCUGGAAAGAAUUACCAUAGGGGGUAAUAGUCCCGUACUCGAAAUAUUUACACCUCUUUCGCUUUUGUUCGUGAGUAGCUCGAGACAUGAAUAGCUCGAGUGAAUCUGGGAGGACUAACUCCUAAGGCUAAAUAUUGUUUGAGACCGAUAGUGAACCAGUACCGUGAGGGAAAGGUGAAAAGAACCCCGAGAGGGGAGUGAAAUAGAACUGAAACCAUACAUCUACAAACAGUUGGAGAGGUACUUGUACCUCGACAGCGUGCCUAUUGAAGAAUGAGCCGGCGAGUGUAUGUGUGCUGCAAGCUAAAUCCGUUAUUGGAUGGAGCUUUAGGGAAACCGAGUGUGAAUAGCGCGUUAGUAGUACGUAUACGACCCGAAACCAGGUGAGCUUGCCAUGAGCAGGGUGAACACUUGUGAAAACAAGUGGGAGGCCCGAACCGGUUGGUCGUUUAAUGCCAUCGGAUGACUUGUGGUAGGGAGUGAAAAGCUAAUCGAACUUGGUAAUAGCUGGUUCUCUCCGAAACAGCUUUAGGGUUGGCGUCGCGUGUUCCCUUCGGGGGUAGAGCACUGGCAGGACUAAACAGGGGGAAACCUCGUUAGCCCUAUCAAACUCCGAAUACCGAAGAUAAAUAACGCGGCAGUUAGACUGCGGGGGAGAAGCUCCGUUGGUCGAAAGGGGAACAGCCCAGAUCGCCAGUUAAGGCCCCUAAAUUAGUGCUCAGUGUAACUUAAGGAAGUGAGGAUCCUCCGACAAUGAGGAGGUUGGCUUAGAAGCAGCCACCCUUUAAAGAUAGCGUAACAGCUCACUCAUCAAGGGUCCUUGCGCCGCAAAUGAUCGGGACUUAAGCACUAUGCCGAAACUGCGGGUUCGCGUACUUCAUAGAAGAUAAAUUAAUGGUUUUAGCAGGAAGCUUGUUAACACAAGCGUAUCCAAGCAUGUUAGUGGUGGUUAGAAUAUACAACCAUCCUUGUUGGUUACCAGCUAAAGCUUUGCAGUGUCAAGAUGAUAAAUGGCAAGGAUCCAUACCGAACCAUGUUCUUGAUAUGAAUACACUAAGAUUGGCCUGAAAAAUGGUCAGCACAUUGCAAAUGUUCUUUAUUAUUUUACAAACUAAAUAAAUAUAGUUUGUAUCUUCUAUGAAGUACGUGAGCGGUAGGAGAGCGUUCUGUUUGCGUUGAAGGUGAAGGGGUGACCCACACUGGAGCGUACAGAAGUGAGAAUGCCGGCACGAGUAACCGCAAUGCGAGUGAGAGCCUCGCACACCGAAAGAUCAAGGUUUCCGCAGCUACGAUGAUCAGCUGCGGGUUAGUCGGGCCUAAGGGGAUGGCGAAAGCCGCACCCGAUGGACACAUGGUUAAUAUUCCAUGACUACGUUGCUAUGCGACGGGGGGACGGAUUGUUGUACGCACUGCCCAUUAUUGGAUUUGGGUUGAUGCCAUGAGGGCUGCUUUUAGGUAAAUCCGGAAGCAUAUAGUCCAAGUGGAGUCACAAUGUCUCGGUUUCGGCCGGGAUAGAGAGUGCGGAGCACGGUUCCUAGAAAAGCCUCUAAGCUAUAGUAGUAACGUAUCCGUACCGCAAACCAACACAGGUGAUCAGGGCGAGUAGCCCAAGGUGAACGAGUAAUGGGUCCUCAAGGAACUCGGCAAAAAAGCGACCGUAACUUCGGGAUAAGGUCUGCCUUUGUAUCUUCGGAUAUCAAGGCCGCAGCUAAAGUUUCUCUGGCGACUGUUUAUCAAAAACACAGCUCCCUGCGAACUCGUAAGAGUAUGUAUAGGGGGUGACGCCUGACCAAUGCCAGAAGGUUAAGUACGGGUGGUAUAUUUCUUCGGAUUUAUGCUGGCCUGUAUAAGCCCUGGUGAAUGUCGGCCGUAACUAUAACGGUCCUAAGGUUUGUAGUAUCACAUUGUGGUACUACAAAGGGCUGGGACUGUUGUAGAAAGAUAAACAGAGACGUCCAGCUACCUUGUGUACAGUAAUGUGCACAUAGUCCAAUCGUGAUUAACAAGAGACCAACGUCACGGCCCUACCCUACAAUUUUGUAGAAGGGAUAAGAUAGAGUCCUUCGUGAAGGAAUCGAAGAGCGUAAUUCCUUGUCGGGUAAGUUCCGACGUGCACGAAUGGCGUAACGACUGGAGAACUGUCUCGAGGACUUGCUCGGUGAAAAUGCAAUCCCGGUAAAGAUGCCGGGUAGAUGUGGAAAGACAGAAAGACCCCAGAAGCUUUACUACAGCUUCGUAUUGGGUCUGCGUGACAUGUGCGUAGCAUAGGUGGGAGACUUUGAAGCACCCCUUUUGGGGGGUGUGGAGUCGUCAGUGAAAUACCACUCUCAUGUUGUUCAGACCCUAACCCCUAGGGAAACCCUAGAGGAACAGUGCGUGGCGGGUAGUUUGAGUGGGGCGCUCUCCUCCUAAAGAGUAACGGAGGAGUCUAUUAAGGUCAGCUAGGCGCGAAUGGACACCGUGCCGAUAGUGUAAUGGCAAAAGCUGGCUUGACUGUGAGGGGUACAUCCCGAGCAGGUACGAAAGUAGAGCAUAGUGAUCCGACUGUUCGCAUUAGAUGCGGCAGGAGCUCAACGGAUAAAAGCUACUCUGGGGAUAACAGGCUAGUAGCGCCCAAGCGUCCAUAGCGACGGCGCUGUUCGGCACCUCGAUGUCGGCUCAUCUUAUCCUGGGGCUGGAGAAGGUCCCAAGGGUUUGGCUGUUCGCCAAUUAAAAAGAUACGCGAGCUGGGUUCAAACCGUUCAGUAGCGGUUUCAAGUAAACGGCUAUUGAACCCGUUUGAACCCGAGGAAAAGUUCACACAAAUACCAACCAGUGAACAAAAAGACAUCAACACGGCGGCGUAACGUCGAAAAAUGUUACGAAAAGUUAACUUAUAUCGGUGAAACCCCACGUGGGCAACACCGAGGGAAAUACAAUGUGUAUGCCCGUAGAGACUGAAUGUUAACCACCCAAGUUGGGUGAAGUUACAGUCCAAUGCCUCUAGCAAUAGAGGGAAUACAUGCGUGAGACAGGUUGGUUCUCUAUCUUCCACAUCCGUCGAUUCUUGAAGAGAUCUGCCCCUAGUACGAGAGGACCGGGGUGGACGAACCUCUGGUCUAUCGGCUGUCACGCCAGUGGCACUGUCGAGUAGCUAUGUUCGGAAUGGAUAACCGCUGAAAGCAUCUAAGCGGGAAGCCAACUCUAAGAUUAUGAAUCAUUAAGACCCCUAGGAGAUGACUAGGUUGAUAGGCUCUACGUAGAAGCACUGUGAAGUGUUCAGCGGAGGAGUACUAAUUCGUCGUCGUCU